GUGUCACGAUGCCUUCUACUCCACAAACCGACCUCGUAGACGUUGGCACCAUCUCUGACACUCCUGGGACUCGUGUGACACAGCGACAUGCAGCACUUCUGGAAUACCCCGAUACCUGUGAAUUCCAGUGCAGUCCUGUGGAAGGGACUGAGUGAUAAGGAAAAGCUGCCAGACCAGUAGCCGCUCACAGACACCAAACCGGAGGCAUCACUGCAGGUAUCUGGAAAGGACCCCGCACUGYAACUGAAACAAGAAGGCCACUAACUUUCCUGCUUCUCUGCAACAUUUAAAGCUCUUCUAAUUUAAUAAGGAGGCACAUUUUGCUUUUUACCAAUGGAAUCUGCUUGUGAUCACCUUCAACAUCUAUAUCCAGCUGUGGAUAAAGUCAGUUUUCGUCUACGCUUAGAAAUAUGA